UACGGGGGAUGCAAGCGUUAUCCGGAUUUAUUGGGUUUAAAGGGUGCGUAGGUGGGAUGCCAAGUCAGCGGUAAAAAUGCGGUGCUCAACGCCGUCGAGCCGUUGAAACUGGCGUUCUUGAGUGGGCGAGAAGUAUGCGGAAUGCGUGGUGUAGCGGUGAAAUGCAUAGAUAUCACGCAGAACUCCGAUUGCGAAGGCAGCAUACCGGCGCCCUACUGACGCUGAGGCACGAAAGCGUGGGUAUCGAACAGG
rnacentral:rRNA from 1 species